UAGCUCUGUGAGUUGAGUGGUUUUCAUGA
rnacentral:piRNA from 2 species